UAAGGGCAGUCCCUGGAUACAAGAACAAGAGACUUUUACAAAUUGUUCUACAUGUGUUCUGUGGCACAUGCAUACACAUACUAAAUAAAUAAACAUGAUUCUUGAAAGUAAAGAUUAAAUGGAGAAUGAUUUAGGCCUGCUGUUGACCUCUGACCUUUAUACAUUUGCGCUUCAUGCAUGUGUGUGCAGACUCCUACACGCAGUAAAAACUGGAAAGCCACCGUGCUCCCAGUGAGGACAGUAUCCUCUCAGGCUGAGACUGUGACUGUUGAGGAUGACACCCAGGAGCAAGGGCAGCCUGACGUGUGGGGGCUGGGAGGACCGUGCCCACCAACAGCCUGUCACGAUGAGUUUUGUAAGACAGUCGCUGAGCUAAAUGUGGGGCUGCACCUUUAAUUCCAGGCAAAGCUUUGAUUUUGAGGCCAGCUUGGUCUACACAGAGAGACCCUAUCUUGAAGAAAGAAAAAAAAAA
rnacentral:lncRNA from 1 species